ACUCUAGAGAUAGAGUCUUCCCCUUCGGGGGACAAAGUGACAGGUGGUGCAUGGUUGUCGUCAGCUCGUGUCGUGAGAUGUUGGGUUAAGUCCCGCAACGAGCGCAACCCUUAAGCUUAGUUGCCAGCAUUAAGUUGGGCACUCUAAGUUGACUGCCGGUGACAAACCGGAGGAAGGUGGGGAUGACGUCAAAUCAUCAUGCCCCUUAUGAUUUGGGCUACACACGUGCUACAAUGGACAAUACAAAGGGCAGCUAAACCGCGAGGUCAUGCAAAUCCCAUAAAGUUGUUCUCAGUUCGGAUUGUAGUCUGCAACUCGACUACAUGAAGCUGGAAUCGCUAGUAAUCGUAGAUCAGCAUGCUACGGUGAAUACGUUCCCGGGUCUUGUACACACCGCCCGUCACACCACGAGAGUCUGUAACACCCGAAGCCGGUGGAGUAACCAUUUAUGGAGCUAGCCGUCGAAGGUGGGACAAAUGAUUGGGGUGAAGUCGUAACAAGGUAGCCGUAUCGGAAGGUGC
rnacentral:rRNA from 1 species